rnacentral:rRNA from 1 species
CCGGUUGAUCCUGCCGGACCCGACUGCUAUCAGAGUGAGAUUAAGCCAUGCGAGUCAACGUAGCAAUACGUGGCAUACGGCUCAGUAACACGUAGUCAACAUAACCAAAGGACGUGGAUAAACUCGGGAAACUGAGGCUAAACCGCGAUAGACCAAGAUACCUGGAAUGGUUUUUGAUUAAAAUCUAUAUGGCCUUUGGAUUGGACUGCGUCCGAUCAGGCUGUUGGUGAGGUAAUGGCCCACCAAACCUAUAACCGGUACGGGCUCUGAGAGGAGGAGCCCGGAGAUGGGUACUGAGACAAGGACCCAGGCCCUAUGGGGCGCAGCAGGCGCGAAACCUCUGCAAUAGGCGAAAGCUUGACAGGGUUACUCUGAGUGACUUUCGCUAAGAAAGUCUUUUGACACCUCUAAAAAUGGUGUAGAAUAAGGGGUGGGCAAGUCUGGUGUCAGCCGCCGCGGUAAUACCAGCACCCCGAGUGGUCGGGACGAUUAUUGGGCCUAAAGCAUCCGUAGCCGGCCUUACAAGUCCCCCGUUAAAUCCAACUGCUUAACAGAUGGGCUGCGGAGGAUACUAUAAGACUAGGAGGCAGGAGAGGCAAGCGGUACUCAGUGGGUAGGGGUAAAAUCCGUUGAUCCAUUGAAGACCACCAGUGGCGAAGGCGGCUUGCCAGAAUGCGCUCGACGGUGAGGGAUGAAAGCUGGGGGAGCAAACCGGAUUAGAUACCCGGGUAGUCACAGCUGUAAACGAUGCAGACUCGGUGAUGGACUAGCUUAAUGCUAGUCCAGUGCCGCAGGGAAGCCGUUAAGUCUGCCGCCUGGGUAGUACGGUCGCAAGAC